rnacentral:tRNA from 1 species
ACCUGGCUGGCUCAGUUGGUGGAGCAUGGGACUCUUGACCUCGAGGUUGUAGGUUUGAAUCCCACGUUGGGUG